ensembl:snoRNA
AUCCUUCGGUUCAUGAAAAUGAUGAUUGGUGCGUUCACGGUCCUUCGUGAAAGGUGCUGCCUUAACUUGUUACGCUUGAGCGCCUCAGCCUAUCUGAUC